GGUGCGGUGGUGUAGCAGGUUAACGCCCUGGUCUGCAGUGCCAGCAUCCCAUAUGGGCGCCGGUUCAAGUUCCGGCUGCUCCA
rnacentral:tRNA from 1 species